UACGAAGGGAGCUAGCGUUGUUCGGAAUCACUGGGCGUAAAGCGCACGUAGGCGGAUUUGUCAGUCAGGGGUGAAAUCCCGGGGCUCAACCUCGGAACUGCCUUUGAUACAGCAAGUCUUGAGUUCGAGAGAGGUGGGUGGAAUUCCUAGUGUAGAGGUGAAAUUCGUAGAUAUCAGGAGGAACACCUGUGGCGAAAGCGGCUCACUGGACCACAACUGACGCUGAUGCACGAAAGCUAGGGGAGCAAACAGG
rnacentral:rRNA from 1 species